AUAGAUUUAAGUUAAGUUUAAACUGUUAGUUUUCAAAGCUAAAAAUUUUAGUCUAUAUGAGGCUUUAGUAUAUG
rnacentral:tRNA from 1 species